GGUCCCAUGAUCUAGCGGUUAUGAUGUUGGACUCUGAAUCCAAAUGCCCGAGUUCAAUUCUCGGUGGGACCU
rfam:Klebsormidium nitens DNA, contig: KFL_707.